GUCAUUACUUCCAGGGAAAAUGGAGAAACUGGCACCAGAGACUAAUGUGAGCGUACGAUGCCAAGGCCUGAGACAGAGUUCACUCGAGAAGCCGACGGUGAAGACUGGCAGACUGACAGAGCUACAGCCUCUCUGAGAGGACGUGAAGGAAGAGCUCGUGUUGCGCUUGGCGGGGAAGCCUGGGGCUGCGAGAGCGAGGACGCGGGUGAGCGAGGACGCGGGUGAGCGAGGACGCGGGUGAGCGAGGACGCGGAGAGCGAGGACGCGGUGAGCGAGGACGCGGGUGAGCGAGGACGCGGGUGAGCGUCAGGGAGUUUGAAGGGCAGGCUCGGCGUUUGUGCCGGGCAGUCGAGUCCCAGCCGAGC
rnacentral:lncRNA from 1 species